ensembl:snRNA U6 U6 spliceosomal RNA
GUGCUCACUUUGACAGCACAUAUGCUAAAACUGGAAUGACACAGAGAAGAUUAGCAUGGCCCCUGUGCAACUAUGCCAUGCAAAGUCAUGAAGCAUUCCAUAUUUUA